CGGAGUCUUUAUAACAGGUGCACACAUGAGAGGCCCCACGGAUGGAGUCCUUGUAGCAACUACACACGUGAGAGGGGCCCCGGAUGGAGUCCUUUGUUGAAUCUGGACCUGCAACAUUAUAAGUCACUGUAGCGGCGGCGAACGUGGCGUGCAUGCGAGGCGCGGGAGGCGUGCAGUGUGGAGGUACCUUGGCGGCGAGGUCGCGGUCGCGCGCGGCGGCGGCGGCGCGCUGCACGUCGCCCUCCAGCUGCGCGCGCCGCACGUCCAGGCGCGCCGCGCGGCCUGCGCACGCGCACCGCCACCACCGCGUGCAACACACAUUUAUUACUGUCCCACCGAACUUUCCGUUUCAGCGUUGUACAUAAUUAAUGAACGUAUAAAAAUAAACAAUGCUUUACGUGAAUGAAGUCCCAUGUUCUAUUCCCAGUGGGGCCAAUUUAUAAAGAGAACUGAAAUUUAGAAAUUCUAGUAUCCUAGCUUGAAGAAUAAGCAAUUGAUGAUACCAACUUCCCGAUUUUGGAUCCGAUUUUGAACAUUCUUUAUUCUUUAUCGUACACAAACAUAAUGAUAAAAACAUUUAAUUUUAAGGGUACUGUACGCCUUUGUACAGUUUAUCUCUAGUAAACAAUUUCUACCAGCAAACUUUUUCAUGUGAAAUACGUUUUAUUUAAAUAUAAAAAUAGACAGACCAACAUUUUGUGUACAUUGUAAUAAAAACAUUUUAAACUA